ACCUCUGAAGUCUCACGCACUCAACUCGUUUGACGAACUCGUUUGACGUGUUCUCUCUUGCCCUUUGUUGUCUGUUGUCUUGAGUCUCAUAGAAUAGGUUUGAACCUUUCACUGUCGGUUUUGUAGGAGUCACUGAGGAUAUUGACGAGGCAAGUGACAGGGUCGACACUCUUGUAGAGAGGCUGUAUAGCAACCAGGUGUCUGAAGGAUUAGAGGCUGGGGAAAGAGUGGGAAAGCAGUUAGUAGGCUAGGGUAUUUGUGCGUGAGGUGAGGAGACUCAGAGCUAGGGGAGACAUUAGAGCAGGGGUUGGCAAACAUUUUUUGUAAAGGGCCCGAUCAUAUUUUAAGUCUCUGCCUUAACUACUCAGCUCUACCUUGUAACGAGAAAGCAGCCAUAGACAAUACUUGAAUGAGUGUAGCUGUCUUCAGUAAAACUAUGGACAUUGAAUUUUUAAUAUAAUUUCAGGUAUGAAAUAUUCUUUUGAUUUUUAAGAAAAUCAUUGAAAUAUGUAAAUUUUUUUUUUUUUAGUUCUGGAGAGGUGCAAAAACAACUUAUAAGCCAUAUUGCUGAGCCCUGCAUUAGAGGUACCUGAGGGAGAGCGACACAAUUGGUAGUAAAUGACCAUAUACUCUAUCCUUCAAUAUGGAACACUUUUGGAAGUAAAGUAGGGCAUUAAUAAUUAUAGCCAGAGACCAGGAGUUAUAUCAGUUUUAUCCCAGGCAAACCUAAAGGAAUAGUCACCUUAAGGUUAAGGGUUAGGAGAAGUCAAAAUUGCUUUAGGACUUGGUAACAGAAAAUGGGAGGUGCCAGUGAUGGAAAUAGGAAGAUAAAGAAGAAACUGGUUUUGAGGAGAAGAUAGCUGUAGCAGUCCCAAGAGCUGUAUACAGUUGAGACAACAUUGAUAGGAAGGAAGAAAGCACCCCAGAAGCAGGCCACUCCUUAUAUCUUAUUGACCAGAACUGGGCUAUUAGCUGUCCCUAAAGCAGUAACAGACAAGGAGCAUGGGACAUCCAUGAUUGCCUAGUGUUUAUCUGGCUUUUUUAAUUCUUAUUCAGGACUGUGUUGAGCAUUGCUGGACAUUUACCAUCUCUGGUUCCUUCCAGCUAAAUGUCAGUACCACACCUCAGGCAUUGUGACACCGUAAAUCAACCGUUUUUCCCUCCCACCCCCCAGAGGUGUGGUACUGGUUGAGAACCAGUAGCUUAGACCCUCAGGAUUUACCUUGGGGCUGAAUUAGUGUGUGUAGGUUUCUUUUCCAGUUGGUUUGGAGGGAAGAGAGGAAUUGGACAGUAUUAAAGUUCUGCUGUCAAGGAAGUGGGCUGGGGAAUGUUGGGUAGCUAACCAACAUUGGCUGCCACGUGAAGUAAAAAAGUUUUCCUUUAUAUCCUUGAUAAAAUAGUGUCUCGACUUCUUCACACUUGAAGCCUUCCCAAAACCCCAGCUUUUUUGAUUCUCAUUGUAAGCCCCUUGAACUGGACUAGUUGGAAGUUCUUAUUUUCCACCCUAAGUAACAAGCUCUUGUCCCAAUAGGAUACUCUUGCUUUGAGUACUGCAAUAACUUUCCAAUUGGUGACUUGCCGUCAGUCUUUUCCUAUUUCAUUCCUACACGAAGAGACUAGAACUGUGUUCUGAUUUCCUUUGCUCAGACACCAAUCUCCAGGGGUGCUCUGUAAUUUGAAGAGGACAACUCAGAAAGCACUCAAGGGCCUCCAUAAGUCCCUGAGUGGCUUCCCUGCCUUCCCGUUCCCCAGCAAACAAUCCCUUGGAUACCCUCUAUUAAAUGAUACGUUUCCCCUUACAAUACCUAGUCCCUUGCCCCAUAUAUGCUAUGUGUAUUGCACAGUCUAGGACUUGACUCAUGCUGUUUCCUCACGGAGCAUGCCCUUCUUAUUUCUAACCAUACAAAUUCCAUGACCUAUCCAUUCUUUCAAUUCUACUUCCACCUGAGGCCUCUAUCAGCCCACAUUAACCUACCUUCUUUGAAUUUCUGUGUGUUCCUUACCUGUACCACCCAUUUUGGCCUUUUAUUUUAUGCUCUUCUUGACUAUUCUGUUAUUGAAACUGUCCUUUAGAUCCCAAGAUUUCUACUUUUUCCCUGCGGAUGCUUUUUUAUUUUUUUUAUUUUUGACUUCUUUCUACCCUCCUUUUCCUCUUACAUCCCUGCUUUGCCUAGAGGACAUCUACAAGAAUCGUCAUGUACAUUCUUUUCUCCUGUUGUUAGCUUUUUUCCCCUGACACUUCAUCUAUUUACUGAUUUACUUGUAAAUCUCUGGAAGAUAUUAGUACUAGCCACCAAAUAUUUCUAUUUCUUUUUCCACACACGUAGAUUUGGAUUUCCCUACUCCUUUUACCUCAAGAAUGGCCAAUGAAAUGUGAUUGGAAGUGACUUGUGUCAUUUCCAAAUAAAAGCUUUAAGAGCCUGUGGACAUUUAUCCUGCGCUGUUUCUUCCUGCCAACAGUGAUGAAAUAUUUUAAUUAUCUAUUGUCCCAUGACAAAGCACCUUAAAUCUUAAUGGUUUAAAACAGUCACCAUUUUAUUAUGUGUAACAGUUUUGUGGGUUGACUAGGCUCAUGGGCAGUUGUCUAAUCUUGCUCAGGGUCUCUCAUGUGGUUCCAGCCUGGUAUUGUUUGGGGCUGGAGUUUUUGGAGGCUCAACUAGGUUGCUAGAGUAGCUGAGCUUUUCUAUUUACCCAUGCCGUUCCAAAGACUCUCUGAUUCACAUGGCUUCUUCAGCAGAGUAGCCUGACUUCUUUCUUGCAUGGUGGCUUAGGAUUCUCAAAUGCAAUAAAAGCAAAAACUUCGAGGUUUUGUAAGUCUUAGGUCUGGAAAUGACAUGUUGUAUUGGUAAAAGCAGUUACAGGGCCAGCUCAAUUUUAAGGGGAGAGGAAAUAAACACUUGAUAGGGGUGGAGGGAGAGUGACAAAGAAUUUGUGGCCAUCUUUAUUACAAAAAUUUUUGUCAACCACAGAGUUACAGGAAAAUGUGGCCAUCUUUAAUCACUACUCCAACGAUGUUUCAAAUUGAGUGGGCUUCCAUCAGCCAGGGUCUCGGAGACAGGACAAAGUGGAAAACAGCUCCCAAAUAACAUACCUAGGUAUAUGAAUAAGAAAUACAUCUCUGCUGUCCUGAGUCACUUAGCUAUUUGGAGUUGUUUGGUAUCAACUUUUGCAUACUAAUAUAAAAAUUGGUACUGGAAAUAGGGUGGUGCUAUAACAAAAAUCUAAAAUAUGAGUCACUGACAUAUAUAAUAAUUGAGUUAGAAAUACUAGUGGUUGGUUGUUAGGCAGCAUCCAGCUUUGACUCACUUAUGCAUUUCCCAGUGAACCUAGCUCAGAAGUUUGCACCAUGAUAUUCAAUAAAUAAUUCUUAAAUAAGAGAGAUUGUUUCUUGUAAUUUUUCCCUAUUUUAGGGAAAAACUUUUUUUUUUUUUCCAUAUCACAUUUUUCUUGAAACAUUGGAGUGCCACGAACAUAUCAUUUGAUGCUCUGUUUGAGUGCCACCAGUGAGUUUCCCGAUGUUUAAGUUUGGCUCGUGGGCAGCCCACCUUCUUCCUCUCCACUUUCUCUUGGGAGCCAUCCUGCUCAUGGAAAGUGUGCUUUCUCCUCUGCUACCUCACACAAGUUUCAAAGGAGCUUGCUCCUGCCAGGGGAGGCUUGGGGUAAGCCAAACAGCAUCAGCUCCCCGGGGGAAGGGAAAUUUCAGGUUUGGAGCUAAGUUCACUUCCAGGGAGUGACAAAGCCUGUUUGAACUUUAAUUCACAGAGUAAAAGAGUUCAAUGUUGGCCAUUAAUGAUUUGGACUUUAACAUGAAGUUGGUACUGAUUACUUUGGGCCAUAAUUUAGAAGGACAGAGUGAUUUAAUCUCUGAACUUUUAAUUUCUCUCUGGAAAAUUAAUACUGGGAGAGGGUUAAAAUCAAAUUGAGAACAUCUUGUUGGUUCUUAGUUAUUAAAGUAUUUGAUCACAUUUUAGAAAUUCUGAUAACUUUGGGCAAGCUGACAGGACAUAGUUUGAGAUGGCGAUAGAACAUAUUGUGAAUUACAGCCUUGGAUACAGAAUAGCAUUGGAACUGAUUUAAUCGAUAAAUUGUUCUGACCCAUUCAGGGCAUUUUGGGGACAGACUCUACAGUUUACUAGUGGCCCCAGGACAUCCUGCAAAAGAGGUGAAAUCAGUAUUGGAGAAGUGGUCUCAUGAAGAUGGGAGCACGACUACUACAAUUGACUGCUGACUUCUCACCCAAGGAAGUAACUGUAUCCCAGCCUAAUCUCAGUGGAUAAGCCCACAGGGUUAAGGUAAUGGUCUUCAUACUUUUGCUGACACACCCCUAAAAUAGUUUUUAAGUUGACAUGUAAAAUAUUUUGACCUUAGUGGCAAAACAUGUAAUUUUUUGCGUAAUAUAAAUGUGAAUAUUUUAAAAUAAAAAGGGUUAUGUUACCUAAAAUGCAAUCUAAAUGAAAUCUAAAUCCAUAGAAAAG
rnacentral:lncRNA from 1 species